rnacentral:rRNA from 1 species
AAGGUUAAGCCUCACGGUUCAUUAGUACCGGUUAGCUCAACGCAUCGCUGCGCUUACACACCCGGCCUAUCAACGUCGUCGUCUUCAACGUUCCUUCAGGACCCUUAAAGGGUCAGGGAGAACUCAUCUCGGGGCAAGUUUCGUGCUUAGAUGCUUUCAGCACUUAUCUCUUCCGCAUUUAGCUACCGGGCAGUGCCAUUGGCAUGACAACCCGAACACCAGUGAUGCGUCCACUCCGGUCCUCUCGUACUAGGAGCAGCCCCCCUCAGUUCUCCAGCGCCCACGGCAGAUAGGGACCGAACUGUCUCACGACGUUCUAAACCCAGCUCGCGUACCACUUUAAAUGGCGAACAGCCAUACCCUUGGGACCUACUUCAGCCCCAGGAUGUGAUGAGCCGACAUCGAGGUGCCAAACACCGCCGUCGAUAUGAACUCUUGGGCGGUAUCAGCCUGUUAUCCCCGGAGUACCUUUUAUCCGUUGAGCGAUGGCCCUUCCAUUCAGAACCACCGGAUCACUAUGACCUGCUUUCGCACCUGCUCGCGCCGUCACGCUCGCAGUCAAGCUGGCUUAUGCCAUUGCACUAACCUCCUGAUGUCCGACCAGGAUUAGCCAACCUUCGUGCUCCUCCGUUACUCUUUAGGAGGAGACCGCCCCAGUCAAACUACCCACCAGACACUGUCCGCAACCCGGAUCACGGGUCCACGUUAGAACAUCAAACAUUAAAGGGUGGUAUUUCAAGGCCGGCUCCAUGCAGACUGGCGUCCACACUUCAAAGCCUCCCACCUAUCCUACACAUCAAGGCUCAAUGUUCAGUGUCAAGCUAUAGUAAAGGUUCACGGGGUCUUUCCGUCUUGCCGCGGGUACACUGCAUCUUCACAGCGAGUUCAAUUUCACUGAGUCUCGGGUGGAGACAGCCUGGCCAUCAUUACGCCAUUCGUGCAGGUCGGAACUUACCCGACAAGGAAUUUCGCUACCUUAGGACCGUUAUAGUUACGGCCGCCGUUUACCGGGGCUUCGAUCAAGAGCUUCGCUUGCGCUGACCCCAUCAAUUAACCUUCCGGCACCGGGCAGGCGUCACACCGUAUACGUCCACUUUCGUGUUUGCACAGUGCUGUGUUUUUAAUAAACAGUUGCAGCCAGCUGGUAUCUUCGACUGAUUUCAGCUCCAUCCGCAAGGGACUUCACCUACAUAUCAGCGUGCCUUCUCCCGAAGUUACGGCACCAUUUUGCCUAGUUCCUUCACCCGAGUUCUCUCAAGCGCCUUGGUAUUCUCUACCUGACCACCUGUGUCGGUUUGGGGUACGAUUUGAUGUUACCUGAUGCUUAGAGGCUUUUCCUGGAAGCAGGGCAUUUGUUGCUUCAGCACCGUAGUGCCUCGUCAUCACGCCUCAGCCUUGAUUUUCCGGAUUUGCCUGGAAAACCAGCCUACACGCUUAAACCGGGACAACCGUCGCCCGGCCAACAUAGCCUUCUCCGUCCCCCCUUCGCAGUAACACCAAGUACAGGAAUAUUAACCUGUUUCCCAUCGACUACGCCUUUCGGCCUCGCCUUAGGGGUCGACUCACCCUGCCCCGAUUAACGUUGGACAGGAACCCUUGGUCUUCCGGCGAGCGGGCUUUUCACCCGCUUUAUCGUUACUUAUGUCAGCAUUCGCACUUCUGAUACCUCCAGCAUGCCUCACAGCACACCUUCGCAGGCUUACAGAACGCUCCCCUACCCAACAACGCAUAAGCGUCGCUGCCGCAGCUUCGGUGCAUGGUUUAGCCCCGUUACAUCUUCCGCGCAGGCCGACUCGACCAGUGAGCUAUUACGCUUUCUUUAAAUGAUGGCUGCUUCUAAGCCAACAUCCUGGCUGUCUGGGCCUUCCCACAUCGUUUCCCACUUAACCAUGACUUUUGGGACCUUAGCUGGCGGUCUGGGUUGUUUCCCUCUUCACGACGGACGUUUAGCACCCGCCGUGUGUCUCCCGUGAUAACAUUCUCCGGUAUUCGCAGUUUGCAUCGGGUUGGUAAGUCGGGAUGACCCCCUUGCCGAAACAGUGCUCUACCCCCGGAGAUGAAUUCACGAGGCGCUACCUAAAUAGCUUUCGGGGAGAACCAGCUAUCUCCCGGUUUGAUUGGCCUUUCACCCCCAGCCACAAGUCAUCCGCUAAUUUUUCAACAUUAGUCGGUUCGGUCCUCCAGUUAGUGUUACCCAACCUUCAACCUGCCCAUGGCUAGAUCACCGGGUUUCGGGUCUAUACCCUGCAACUUAACGCCCAGUUAAGACUCGGUUUCCCUUCGGCUCCCCUAUUCGGUUAACCUUGCUACAGAAUAUAAGUCGCUGACCCAUUAUACAAAAGGUACGCAGUCACACGCCUAAGCGUGCUCCCACUGCUUGUACGUACACGGUUUCAGGUUCUUUUUCACUCCCCUCGCCGGGGUUCUUUUCGCCUUUCCCUCACGGUACUGGUUCACUAUCGGUCAGUCAGGAGUAUUUAGCCUUGGAGGAUGGUCCCCCCAUAUUCAGACAGGAUACCACGUGUCCCGCCCUACUCAUCGAGCUCACAAUAUGUGCAUUUUUGUGUACGGGGCUGUCACCCUGUAUCGCGCGCCUUUCCAGACGCUUCCACUAACACACACACUGAUUCAGGCUCUGGGCUGCUCCCCGUUCGCUCGCCGCUACUGGGGGAAUCUCGGUUGAUUUCUUUUCCUCGGGGUACUUAGAUGUUUCAGUUCCCCCGGUUCGCCUCAUUAACCUAUGGAUUCAGUUAAUGAUAGUGUGACGAAUCACACUGGGUUUCCCCAUUCGGAAAUCGCCGGUUAUAACGGUUCAUAUCACCUUACCGACGCUUAUCGCAGAUUAGCACGUCCUUCAUCGCCUCUGACUGCCAGGGCAUCCACCGUGUACGCUUAGUCGCUUAA